CGGACGGGUGAGUAACGCGUGAGAAUCUACCUUCAGGACGGGGACAACAGCUGGAAACGGCUGCUAAUACCCGAUAUGCCGAAAGGUGAAACGUUGUUUCGCCUGGAGAGGAGCUCGCGUCCGAUUAGCUAGUUGGUGGGGUAAAAGCUUACCAAGGCGACGAUCGGUAGCUGGUCUGAGAGGAUGAGCAGCCACACUGGAACUGAGACACGGUCCAGACUCCUACGGGAGGCAGCAGUGGGGAAUUUUCCGCAAUGGGCGAAAGCCUGACGGAGCAACGCCGCGUGGGGGAAGAAGGUUUUUGGAUUGUAAACCCCUUUUCUCAAGGAAGAACAAAAUGACGGUACUUGAGGAAUCAGCCUCGGCUAACUCCGUGCCAGCAGCCGCGGUAAUACGGAGGAGGCAAGCGUUAUCCGGAAUUAUUGGGCGUAAAGCGUUCGUAGGCGGCUGUUCAAGUCUGCUGUCAAAGACCGAGGCUCAACCUCGGGUCGGCAGUGGAAACUGGAUAGCUAGAGGUCGGUAGGGGCAGAGGGAAUUCCCAGUGUAGCGGUGAAACGCGUAGAUAUUGGGAAGAACACCGGUGGCGAAAGCGCUCUGCUGGGCCGAACCUGACGCUGAGGGACGAAAGCUAGGGGAGCGAAUGGGAUUAGAUACCCCAGUAGUC
rnacentral:rRNA from 1 species